rnacentral:rRNA from 1 species
UACGAAGGGGGCGAGCGUUGUUCGGAAUUACUGGGCGUAAAGGGCGCGCAGGCGGCCCUUGAAGUCAGGCGUGAAAGCCCCGGGCUCAACCUGGGAGGUGCGCUUGAUACUCGAGGGCUUGAGUGCGGGAGAGGAGAGUGGAAUUCCCAGUGUAGAGGUGAAAUUCGUAGAUAUUGGGAAGAACACCGGUGGCGAAGGCGGCUCUCUGGACCGUAACUGACGCUGAGGCGCGAAAAGCGUGGGGAGCAAACAGG